GAUGAACGCUAGCUACAGGCUUAACACAUGCAAGUCGAGGGGUAGCAGGGUAGCAAUACCGCUGACGACCGGCGCACGGGUGAGUAACACGUAUCCAACCUUCCCAUAACUCGGGGAUAGCCUUUCGAAAGAAAGAUUAAUACCGGAUGGUACUUUUUCAAGGCAUCUUGAGAAAGUUAAAGAUUUAUUGGUUAUGGAUGGGGAUGCGUUCCAGUAGAUAGUUGGUGAGGUAACGGCUCACCAAGUCUUCGAUGGAUAGGGUGUAUGAGGUGAAGGUCACCCCACAUUGGUACUGAGACACGGACUAAACUCGUACGGGAGGCAGCAGAGAGGAAUAUUGGUCAAUGGGCGAGUGCCUGAACAAGCCAAGUAGCGUGAAGGAUGAAGGUCCUAUGGAUUGUAAACGUCUUUGAUAGUAGAAUAAAUUGAUCCACGUGUGGAUGUUUGUAUGUAUACUAUGAAUAAGGAUCGGCUAACUCCGUGCCAGCAGCCGCCGUAA
rnacentral:rRNA from 1 species